rnacentral:rRNA from 1 species
GGACUACACGGGUAUCUAAUCCCGUUCGCUACCCUAGCUUUCGUGCCUCAGCGUCAGAAGAGAUCCAGUGAGCCGCUUUCGCCACCGGUGUUCCUUAGGAUAUCAACGCAUUUCACCGCUCCACCCUAAGUUCCGCUCACCUCUAUCUCCCUCGAGUACAGUAGUUUAGAGCGCAGUUCCUCGGUUGAGCCGAGGGAUUUCACACCCUACUUUCUGCACCGCCUACGCACCCUUUAAGCCCAGUAAUUCCGAAUAACGUUCGGACGGUUCGUCUUACCGCGGCUGCUGGCAC